UACGGGGGGGGCAAGCGUUGUUCGGAAUUACUGGGCGUAAAGGGCUCGUAGGCGGUCAACUAAGUCAGACGUGAAAUCCCCAGGCUUAACCUGGGAACUGCGUCUGAUACUGGAUGGCUUGAAUUCGGGAGAGGGAUGCAGAAUUCCAGGUGUAGCGGUGAAAUGCGUAGAUAUCUGGAGGAAUACCGGUGGCGAAGGCGGCAUCCUGGACCGACAUUGACGCUGAGGAGCGAAAGCUAGGGGAGCAAACGGG
rnacentral:rRNA from 1 species